UAACAGGAAGAAGCUUGCUUCUUUGCUGACGAGUGGCGGACGGGUGAGUAAUGUCUGGGAAACUGCCUGAUGGAGGGGGAUAACUACUGGAAACGGUAGCUAAUACCGCAUAACGUCGCAAGACCAAAGAGGGGGACCUUCGGGCCUCUUGCCAUCGGAUGUGCCCAGAUGGGAUUAGCUAGUAGGUGGGGUAACGGCUCACCUAGGCGACGAUCCCUAGCUGGUCUGAGAGGAUGACCAGCCACACUGGAACUGAGACACGGUCCAGACUCCUACGGGAGGCAGCAGUGGGGAAUAUUGCACAAUGGGCGCAAGCCUGAUGCAGCCAUGCCGCGUGUAUGAAGAAGGCCUUCGGGUUGUAAAGUACUUUCAGCGGGGAGGAAGGGAGUAAAGUUAAUACCUUUGCUCAUUGACGUUACCCGCAGAAGAAGCACCGGCUAACUCCGUGCCAGCAGCCGCGGUAAUACGGAGGGUGCAAGCGUUAAUCGGAAUUACUGGGCGUAAAGCGCACGCAGGCGGUUUGUUAAGUCAGAUGUGAAAUCCCCGGGCUCAACCUGGGAACUGCAUCUGAUACUGGCAAGCUUGAGUCUCGUAGAGGGGGGUAGAAUUCCAGGUGUAGCGGUGAAAUGCGUAGAGAUCUGGGGGAAUACCGGUGGCGAAGGCGGCCCCCUGGACGAAGACUGACGCUCAGGUGCGA
rnacentral:rRNA from 1 species